rnacentral:lncRNA from 10 species
GUGGGGAUCUGAACCCGCAAUACUUCUGAGGUUAACGGAGAUUGGAAGGAUAUUGUCAUAGGGAAAAUAUACUAUGAUUACAUACAAUGAGUCAUCAACCAGCAAUGCCAUUCCACAGGGAGAUCAGCGUAAACCCCAGCGCUUUUGCUAAUUCCCAGUGGAGCACAGACACCUGGAAGAAAGACAUAAUUUUUAGCACCUACAUAUUUCCAAUGGCAAGAGCAGGAGAGAAAGACAAUCAUUGAGACCAAGAGGAGGAAAAGAUUAAUAAGUGCUGCCGUCACUGCAGGAAAAAUAAUUUUUCAAAACAACAACAGUAAAAAGUGCCUCUAGGAUAGUUACGCUCUGUUCUCCUUUCUUCUACUAAAAAGGAAAAACACAGCAAAAC